rnacentral:rRNA from 1 species
CCAGACUCCUACGGGAGGCAGCAGUGGGGGAUAUUGCACAAUGGGGGGAACCCUGAUGCAGCGACGCCGCGUGGGUGAAGGAGUAUUUCGGUAUGUAAAGCCCUAUCGGCAGGGAAGAAGCAAGACGGUACCUGACUAAGAAGCCCCGGCUAACUACGUGCCAGCAGCCGCGGUAAUACGUAGGGGGCGAGCGUUAUCCGGAUUCACUGGGUGUAAGGGGAGCGUAGACGGCCAAGCAAGCCAGGGGUGAAAGCCCGGGGCCCAACCCCGGGACUGCCCUUGGAACUGCUUGGCUGGAGUGCGGGAGGGGCAGGCGGAAUUCCUAGUGUAGCGGUGAAAUGCGUAGAUAUUAGGAGGAACACCAGUGGCGAAGGCGGCCUACUGGACGGUGACUGACGCUGAGGCUCGAAAGCGUGGGGAGCAAACAGGAUUAGAUACCCGGGUAAC